UCGGGAAUUUUGGGCAAUGGGGGAAACCCUGACCCAGCAACGCCGCGUGAAGGAUGAAGUAUUUCGGUAUGUAAACUUCGAAAGAAUAGGAAGAAUAAAUGACGAUACUAUUUAUAAGGUCCGGCUAACUACGUGCCAACAGCCGCGGUAAUACGUAGGGACCAAGCGUUGUUCGGAUUUACUGGGCGUAAAGGGCGCGUAGGCGGCAUGACAAGUCACUUGUGAAAUCUCUGGGCUUAACCCAGAACGGCCAAGUGAUACUGUCGCGCUAGAGUGCAGAAGGGGCAAUCGGAAUUCUUGGUGUAGCGGUGAAAUGCGUAGAUAUCAAGAGGAACACCUGAGGUGAAGACGGGUUGCUGGGCUGACACUGACGCUGAGGCGCGAAAGCCAGGGGAGCAAACGGGAUUAGAUACCCUUGUAGUCCCUGAGCGGGCUGGCAAGGCGCAU
rnacentral:rRNA from 1 species